GGAAGAGAAAACAUGAAGGAAACGAACUCAGUGGGCUGCCAUUGAUAACAUGGACAUAACUCUUGACAUCACGUCCAGAUCUGAUUCAGGCUAUGUCCCACAAUUAAAUGAAAAUCAGGAAAGUCCAUUUGAAUCCAGGUGGGAGCUGCAAGAGAGUUGCAUCAUUGGUGAUGUCAUUCAAUAUUCCCAGCAUGUUGGCUGCCACACCCCCUCCUCUUAAAGAGACAGGGCGGACAAAAAGAGCCCUGUCGCCACU